AUAAAAAAAAAAUUGAAAAAUACUAUAAAAAUUUAAAAAAAAAUAUGUAAAUAAUGCAACAAAAAAAAUUUUACCCUCGCCUAAGGAUUUGAAAUCCAACGACAAAACAAAAAAAAAAUUAAAUUUUUCCUAUUCUCGCGAAACUAAUGGGGAAGCUGUGCUGUUGCAAUGAUUGAUGCGGUUGCCGUUUCAUUUUACUGUACAAGAAUUGCCAAGCUGCGUACGCCUUUUAAUGGCGUUUUUUCCGAGUUGUCGCCUUGACCAAGAACUUAUGACCCUUCGAGCAAUUCUUGCGGUAUUUUUAAAAUUAACUCUAACAAGAGACCGUGACAAGCUAAACACCUGGCCGAGGAACAACUUCAAUGAGAAUGCUAUAUGCACAAUACUAGUUACUAGUUACAAAGACUAACAACCUACUAUUUACAGGUUUGUUCUCACAACCACAUUACUUGUAUACUGAGAUAUAUGGAAAAACAACCAGCGACAAUACUGCAGAUCUUAAGGGCAAUGAUAAAUGAAAUGAUGAUUUUACUUUAAUUACCGGCCAAUAGGGUUCAUAAGCACACAUUUAAAAGACAUAUUUUAAGUGAUAAUGAUUUAUCGCUUCUAGAUGAUUGAUGAGUAGUUACGAAAAUUUUGACUAUACAAUUCUAAGCGUUUUUAUAAGCAAGUACAACCCAUUUUUCAAUACAAUCUGUAAAAUGAUAUAUGUAACGAUUUUCUUGAAUUUUUUAUACUUCAUUUUAAUUUUUGCAAUCUUCUGACAUCACGCACGAACGAAGGAACAAUCGGAGAGAGAGAGAAGAAUUCGGUUAACUCUGUCGUGCGGAGAUCUUGCAACACGAACCUAUCUUUCUAAUUGUAACAAACGAUAUGAAAAACUUAUGCUGCUCCUAUUCAUUUAGCUUGGCGAGUGGAAAAACGUGUUCAAUUGCAAAUCAAUCGGCUAUAAGCGGAAAUUAUUUAUUUUAUGGCUCGUUAAAUAACAUUUGUGAUAAUAUGCGCUGAUGGUAAUGAAGAUGGCGCGAUGAUGACUGAGGGGAGAAAAACAAGUCUUCAAUUUAUUUAUGUAGGCAUUGA